rnacentral:rRNA from 1 species
UACAGAGGGUGCGAGCGUUAAUCGGAAUUACUGGGCGUAAAGCGCGCGUAGGCGGCUUUGCAAGUCGGGUGUGAAAUCCCCAGGCUUAACCUGGGAACUGCAUUCGAGACUGCAUUGCUAGAGUAUGGGAGAGGGAUGCAGAAUUCCAGGUGUAGCGGUGAAAUGCGCAGAUAUCAGGAGGAACACCGGUGGCGAAGGCGGGUCUCUGGGCCGAAACUGACGCUGAGGAGCGAAAGCGUGGGGAGCAAACAGG